GGUGGCAACUUCAAGGAUUGAAGAAGACACUUUGCCAAUAAUAUAUAAACCCUUAUCCUUUGAUUUAAACUCAGCAAGAUAUCAUUUUCAGCUAGCAAAAACGAAGUCAUCUUCUUCCUUAAGUUUCACCAUGUUAAGUAUUUCAAAUGGCCAUAACUCACUCAAUUUUGGUCCGAUUGAUGCGAUUCUUGCGGCCACGGAAAGAGGAAGACGACCUCUACUGAUUGAGACCAGAAAUUUAAGGUUAUUAUAAGCUUGAAUGGAGUAGUUUGAUGGUGACUUUGAGGACUUGAGCCUUUAGCCAUGAAGUGUUCCCAAGAUAAGGGAUAGUAUGAUAUGAUUUGGAAAGUCAAGUUUCCGAAGUUUUAAUUCUCGGAAGUUAUUUGCACAAGAAGUGAAAGAAGGUUUUCAUUCUAGCGGUCCGCAGUAGUCCAGAUGUUUUUGUCUAGGUAUUUAUAUUGCGCAUUUUAACUCUAAUGCUUUUGUAAAAUGGGGUCACAUGUAUUUUGAUAUAUGAAACAUGAUUUGGUUUGCGAAAAAUUUACACAGGAUUUUAGGCUUGCUACGGGUUUCAGAGCUACCACUCCCAUUCCCUAGCGCCGGUCGCGACUCAUAAAUUUGGGUC